rnacentral:rRNA from 1 species
GUGAACGCUGGCGGUAGGCCUAACACCUGCCAGUCGAACGGCAGCACAGUAAGAGCUUGCUCUUACGGGUGGCGAGUGGCGGACGGGUGAGGAAUACAUCGGAAUCUACUUUUUCGUGGGGGAUAACGUAGGGAAACUUACGCUAAUACCGCAUACGACCUACGGGUGAAAGCAGGGGAUCUUCGGACCUUGCGCGAUUGAAUGAGCCGAUGUCGGAUUAGCUAGUUGGCGGGGUAAAGGCCCACCAAGGCGACGAUCCGUAGCUGGUCUGAGAGGAUGAUCAGCCACACUGGAACUGAGACACGGUCCAGACUCCUACGGGAGGCAGCAGUGGGGAAUAUUGGACAAUGGGCGCAAGCCUGAUCCAGCCAUACCGCGUGGGUGAAGAAGGCCUUCGGGUUGUAAAGCCCUUUUGUUGGGAAAGAAAAGCAGCAGGUUAAUACCCCGCUGUUCUGACGGUACCCAAAGAAUAAGCACCGGCUAACUUCGUG